CUGUGGUGUAGGUUGCAAACACAGCAUGGAUCCCACGUUGCUGUGGCUGUGGCGUAGGCUAGCAGCUAUAGCUCCGAUUCGACCCCUAGCCUGGGAACCUCUGUACACCGCAGUUAAUGUACCCACACAGAUUUGCCCUGUUCUGCCCGCCACCCACCCCUGUGCCCCCCCCACCCCAGUCUGCUUCUCAAUGGCAAGUCUCAGGUGCUGGGGCUUUUGCCUCCUUUCCUAAUGUUCCUGGAUAUCUCGGCCUCCGUGGGAGAGGGUCAGGUCCUGGCACAGCUCUUUUGUGCCCACUGUGGAGAGACACGACAGCUCAGAGGCCUAAGCUCCAUCUGACCAGAUCCAGGAAGGUUCUGGCUCCUCCUACCAGAUCCAGAGUAGGGUGUGUUUUCCCCGGGGACUGUCCAGAAGGGAUGUGGGGAGGUGGCAGCACAGCCUGGAUCUGGGGAGGUGGCAACAGUUAACACCUUUGCUGGGAAGGGGAAGGAGCCAGCAGAUAAACUGCUUGCUGUCUGCCUGUCUCCUCCCUUCUCCCCGGCUCCAUUCCUGACUCGCACCGUUCUUGGCUACAUAUUAGUUCCGUAUCAUCCAGCCGGAAACUUUCUGGAUGCUGAUGCAGUUAGCUGUGAUGUCACGUUCAACGGUAGCCAGUUUGCUAGUGCAGCCUUGUGUUUGCUUUCCUUCUUACCUGCCGAACUUGUCUUUUUCUCUUCCCUCUGUUCUGGUAUUUCAACCCUGUUAAAAUAGAUGAAUUUGGUUCUGAACUCAGUUUUCUGAGGAACCUGGGCAGGGUAGUAUUUAAUGAAAAAUAAAUCUCUUUUUCACUUUAGACCCUUGUGCAGUUUACCCUGUCUUGCACCUUGUUAUAUUCCAUGUAACAGUAUGAUAAUGAUACUGUUUGAAAGCUUAUGUGCCAGGCACUAAGUCUUUAUGGUUUGUGCAGCACAACUCCAUGAGAUGAAAUGAACCAUGGAAAUGGUUCCGUAUUAGCAUAUACAGAUCACUUUGCAUUUGUUUUGCUUUUUAAAGGGAUGGUUAUCACUUUUAUAAAUGGAACGUAUUUGUUAUGAAUGAAAAAAUGCUGAAAAAUUUAAAGAAGAAAGCAGGAAUUCACCCCCAGAUCCCAUCAUCUGAGAAAAACUAUUAAGCAAAUAGCAUGCUAUGCAGCUCUCACAAACCUCAAGCUUUCACAACUGGAUAGUAUUGCGUGAGGAUAAGUGCUUUUUUUAUACCUGUAAUUUGCUGACAUAUAGAUGUAUUUCUCCGCCCCCCGCCCCCUCCCCACCAAAAGGAAAAAGUUUACCCACGUGUUACCUUGUGUCAGAUGCAUUUAGUUUGCAGAUGAAAGUUUCUGGGCCAAAAAAAAAAAAGAUAUUUAAUAGCAAAGAUGAUCUGCCCUGAUGUGAUCCUUCUAAUGGAGGAGAACAUCCCCCCAAAUGUGACAGAGGUGCAAGUUUCCCCUGGAGAGUUUUAGUAACCAAAGGAAGCUAUAAGCCAUGUUAGCUGAUUAGAGAUACAUUUUAGGCUAUUUCAUUACGUUUCAGAUUUAAAUUUUGUUACACUAUGUUAUGACUCACCAGUAGUAGAGGUAUCAACUAUAUACUUCAGUAAACACAAACCCCCAAAGUAGUCGGAGGCACUGUGACUUAUUUACCAUUAAGUUCACAUACACUGCAAACCAACCCAGUUAAUGGGCAACAGAACCCCAUUUUGAGGGCAGGGAUGACUACGUUUCUAUUGCAGUGAGAAACAGAGCUUAGGAGAAUCCAUUGGAGACCAGCAGGGAUGAUGAAUUUUCCUGGCCUAGGGGAUGUUUUACCCAACUUUGAAGAUGAUUUUCCAGGGUCUGAGGUUGAAAUGAAAACUUACACAAUUUGUUUUUCUUUUUCAUCUUGAUAUGCUAUAUAUAGUUCCUUGUAUAGUUAUGGACAGUAGUCUCCCCUUAUUCACAGAGAUGCAUUUCAAGACUCCCAGUGGGUGCCUAAAAAUUGGAUAAUAUUAAAUCCUAUGUGUUUUUUCCCAUACAUACACGACUGUGAUAAAGUUUAAUUUAUAAAUUUGGCACAGUAGAGAUUAACAACAAUAACAAUAAAAUAGAACCAUUAUGACAAUAUACUGUAAUAAAAUUAUGUGAAUGUGGUCUCUCAAAAUAGCUUAUUAAACUGUACUUACCCCUUUUCUUGUGAUGAUGGUGAGAUGAUAAAAUGCCUACAUGGUGAGAUGUGUUGAAUGACACAGGUGUUGUGACACGGCAUUAGGCUACUGUUGACCUUAUGAGCAUAUCAGGAGGAAGGUCAUCUGCUCUGGGGCAUCCUGGCUCACUGAACCGUGACAGUGGCAGUGUUUGGAUGUCAGGAGCAGCCGAUGUCCAUGUUUGGGGAUCCCGGGCGGGAUAGAGCAGACUAGCACAAGGGUUCACCACGCUGCUCAAAAUAGUGCACAAGUUAAAACUUACGAGUUGUUUAUUUCUAGAAUUUUCCACCUAAUGUUUCUGGACCACAGUUGACGGCAGGUAACUGAAACCCUGGAAAAUGAAACCGCAGAUAAGGGAAGACUCAUUGAAAUAGCAGCUUUGGUUAGAAUCCAUUAUUGCUUCUCUUUUUUAAUUUGUACAGAUAAUUAGUGAAAUUCUUGUUUUUUAUAGUAUACUUUGUUCCAGUUUUUAAUAAAGUAUUUGCUUGUUCUGGGCUACUUUUAUAGCAAUUCGUGAACAUUUAGUUUAGAUUGUAGCAUGUUCUUUACUCACCAGCACUGUAUUUCAGUAAGUUCUAGGCAGAGCGAUUUAGCUCUAGAGUCAGUUUUUAGUUGAAUUUCUGGGUCAAAGUGUAUGUUCAUUUUAAAUUUUGAUAGGAGUUCCCCUCGUGGCGCUGUGGUUAACGAAUCUGACUAGGAACCAUGAUGUUGCGGGUUUGAUCCCUGGCCUUGCUCAGUGGGUUAAGGAUCCAGCGUUGCCGUGAGCUGUGGUGUAGGUUGCAGAUGCAGCUCGGAUCCUGCAUUGCUGUGGCUCUGGCGUAGGCUGGUGGCUACAGCCCCAAUUUGAUCCCUAGCCUGGGACCCUCCAUAUGCCACAGAGUGGCCCUAGAAAAGGCAAAAAGACAAAAAAAAAUUUGGUAGACAUUGUCACAUUAAAAGAAGAGAUGAAGAGUUCCCGUCGUGGCGCAGUUGUUAAUGAAUCCGACUAGGAACCAUGAGGUUGCGGGUUUGGUCCCUGCCCUUGCUCAGUGGGUUAAGGAUCCGGCGUUGCCGUGAGCUGUGGUGUAGGUUGCAGACGCGGCUCGGAUCCCGCGUUGCUGUGGCUCUGGCGUAGGCCGGUGGCUACAGCUCCGAUU
rnacentral:lncRNA from 1 species